rnacentral:lncRNA from 1 species
UUAUCUUUAUCAUAUGGCAGCUGUGACGUUCCAUAAAUAAACAUGCAUGUAAAUGCAUAUGGUCUUUUUUCAAUGGCAUUAGAUAUAAAAAAAAAUUAAAAAAUAAGAUGUGGUAAGAUUGCCAAUGAGACAUAUCCUCAUUUGUAGAUAUACUGUAUGAAUAUAGGGAAAAUACAGUUAUUUAAAGGAAGAUACAAAAACUAUUCAUCCGCAUUAAGGAAUAAUAAUAAAGAUGCAAAAGUGCAUGAUAUUAGCAAUUUUCCAUGAAUUUAACAAAAUAUGUCAAAUGGUGCGGCGGCAGUAACAUAUAAAAGUGAAACAGUAGAACGUAUAAACACGAACAUAUGAAUGACGAUUGAUCACUAUAUACCUCGUUCAUUUAACAAAUGUUAAUAAUGUUUGAAACUACAUAUUAACGAAUCCAAUGAUCUCAUAGUUACA